rnacentral:rRNA from 1 species
GCAUAUCAAUAAGCGGAGGAAAAGAAACCAACAGGGAUUGCCUUAGUAACGGCGAGUGAAGCGGCAAAAGCUCAAAUUUGAAAUCUGGCACCUUCGGUGUCCGAGUUGUAAUUUGAAGAAGGUAACUUUGGAGUUGGCUCUUGUCUAUGUUCCUUGGAACAGGACGUCACAGAGGGUGAGAAUCCCGUGCGAUGAGAUGCCCAAUUCUAUGUAAAGUGCUUUCGAAGAGUCGAGUUGUUUGGGAAUGCAGCUCUAAGUGGGUGGUAAAUUCCAUCUAAAGCUAAAUAUUGGCGAGAGACCGAUAGCGAACAAGUACAGUGAUGGAAAGAUGAAAAGAACUUUGAAAAGAGAGUGAAAAAGUACGUGAAAUUGUUGAAAGGGAAGGGCUUGAGAUCAGACUUGGUAUUUUGCGAUCCUUUCCUUCUUGGUUGGGUUCCUCGCAGCUUACUGGGCCAGCAUCGGUUUGGAUGGUAGGAUAAUGACUAAGGAAUGUGGCUCUACUUCGGUGGAGUGUUAUAGCCUUGGUUGAUACUGCCUGUCUAGACCGAGG